CCUCUCUCUCUGCCCUUCCUCCACUCACGCUCUGUCUCUCUGUGUCUCUGAAAAAUGAAUAAAUGUUGAAAAAAAGAUUUCAGAUUCAGUAUUUUGUUAAGCAGAGGCGGUGGCCAUGAUAAGGUCAUUAGGAUCUUCAUCAAGCAUCAGCUUGCCCAAGCUUUGGUUUCCAAGGAGACUGGGGAAUAACAAUACAAUAGUUAGUGUUCCUUAUGGACCUACUGUGCCAGGAACUUUUCUAAACGCUUUACAUAUAUUCUCUUCUUUAAUUCUCUUCAGAGCCCUGUGGGGUAUGUCCUAUUAUUGCCUCCAUUGUAGAAGGAAACUGAGGCUCAGACAAGGACAUUUGGCUUAUCUACGAUCAGAGCUCUAUGCUGAAAUCGGCAUGCGUGAGACAUCAAGAAGUUUUGGAUUUGCUUCCGAAUAAUCCAGUUUGGGAAAGGUGGUAGGUAAAACAAGAUUGGUUUUAGGAUGAUAAUUGCUGACGCUGGCUGUGAACACAUAAGUGUUUAUUACACGAUUGCCUCUGGUUUUGUAUGUUUAAACACUUUCCUAAUAAAGAGUAAAAAGUAA